UACGAAGGGUGCAAGCGUUACUCGGAAUUACUGGGCGUAAAGCGUGCGUAGGUGGUGGUUUAAGUCUGAUGUGAAAGCCCUGGGCUCAACCUGGGAAUGGCAUUGGAAACUGGAUCACUGGAGUGCGGUAGAGGAUGGCGGAAUUCCCGGUGUAGCAGUGAAAUGCGUAGAGAUCGGGAGGAACAUCCGUGGCGAAGGCGGCCAUCUGGACCAGCACUGACACUGAGGCACGAAAGCGUGGGGAGCAAACAGG
rnacentral:ncRNA from 3 species